CAACAAAAGAGGAGGAGGAAGACGUUUUGGGAGUGACAGAGGAGGAGGAAGAUGGAGAGGAGGAAGAGACUGAAGAUCCUGUUAACACCACAGGGGAGAGACCAGACGCAGACUCUCAGUGUGACAGCUUGAAGAGUGCUUCAGGGGAACCAGACCCAGAGACGUCCAAACCAGAAAGACGAAGACACUGCUCUCAGUGUGGAAAGAGUUUUAGCUGGUUUGCGAACCUGAAACGACAUGAGAGGACACACACAAAGGAGAGACCCUACCAAUGCAUUCAGUGUGGAAAGAAUUUUAAUUCAUCAGAAUAUAUGAAAAAACAUGAAAAAAUACACUCUAAGCCUUACCACUGCUCCCAGUGUGAAAGAAGUUUUACCCAACGGGGGGACCUGAAAUCACAUGAGAGGACACACACAGGAGAGAAGCCUUACCACUGCUCACAGUGUGAAAGGAAUUUUUUCUCAUCGGGGUCCUUGAAAAGACAUGAGGGGACACACUCUGUGGAAAAACCUUUCCACUGUUCUCAUUGUGAAAAGAGUUUUAAGAAUGUAUGGAACCUGAAAGAACAUGAGCAAAGACACACAAUGGAGAAGCCUUUCCACUGCUCCCACUGUGGAAUUAAAUUUACGUGGUUUCAACAACUUAAAGAGCAUGAAAGAAUCCACAUCGUAGAGAAAAGUUAUCAGUGCCUCCGGUGUGGAAAGAUAUUUAUGCAGUUAGGGCACCUGAAAGUCCAUGAGGUAACACACACAGGGGAGAAGCCUUACCAAUGCUCCCAGUGUGGAAAGAGAUAUAGUACCUCACAUGGACUUAAAAUUCAUCAGAAAACACACAUUGUGCUCCCACAAUUGUCUCAUAUUUUUGACUGAGUGUUUUUGUUUAUGCCACAUUAAAUCUAAUUAUAGAAAGUGGACUCAAAAAUACAUUUGUAUGAUUUAUUUUUAUUUUAAAAUAUAAAUUGAAUAUGGAGUGAGUAAGUGUAUGGCUUUCCCAGAUUUCUAUGAUGUAUAAUUAAUUACAAUAUGAGUGAAAUCGUUUUCCAAAUYUUUAAAAUUAAGUAUGUUAAAAAGGUAGCUUUUCUGUGUUGGAAUGGUGUGCGUAUCCCAACUACAGAAUGUUGUGGGCAUAUAUACAAGUCAUUAAAGGGAUACUUUAUGAUUUUGACAA